GGAAGGUAUAGCUCAGUGGUAGAGUGUGUGCUUAGCAUGCACGAGGUCCUGGGUUCAAUCCCCAGUACCUCCA
rnacentral:tRNA from 1 species